UUUCCGUAGGUGAACCUGCGGAAGGAUCAUUACAGUGUUAGGCUUCGGCCUCAUUCACACCCCUUGUUGAACCUCUGGUUUCUUUGGCGAUGUCAUGGACUCGUCAAACUUUAACUCUGGGAAUGCGAUACUGUCCGAGUGCCAUUGAAUGAUUAAAACUUUCAACAACGGAUCUCUUGGUUCCA
rnacentral:misc_RNA from 1 species